rnacentral:rRNA from 1 species
ACGCGAAAGCCCCCUUCGGGGGGCAAGUAGAGUGGCGCACGGGUGAGUAACACGUAGGUAAUCUACCUUUGGAUGGGGAAUAACAACCGGAAACGGUUGCUAAUACCGCAUAAUGCAGCGGCACCUAAUGGUGACAGUUGUUAAAGCGGGGGAUCGCAAGACCUCGCGUCUGAAGAGGAGCCUGCGGCGGAUUAGCUAGUUGGUAAGGUAACGGCUUACCAAGGCGAUGAUCCGUAGCCGGCCUGAGAGGGCGGUCGGCCACACUGACACUGACAUACGGGUCAGACUCCUACGGGAGGCAGCAGUCGGGAAUUUUGGGCAAUGGGCGAAAGCCUGACCCAGCAACGCCGCGUGAAGGAUGAAAUCCUUCGGGAUGUAAACUUCGCAAGAACGGGAAGAAUAAGUAAGGGUUAAUAUCUCUUACGAUGACGGUACUGUUUGUAAGCUCCGGCUAACUCCGUGCCAGCAGCCGCGGUAAUACGGGGGGAGCAAGCGUUGUUCGGAUUUACUGGGCGUAAAGGGCGCGUAGGCGGCCACCGCAAGUCGACUGUGAAAUCUCCGGGCUUAACCCGGAAAGGUCAGCCGAUACUGCGGGGCUAGAGUGCAGAAGGGGCAACUGGAAUUCUCGGUGUAGCGGUGAAAUGCGUAGAUAUCGAGAGGAACACCUGCGGCGAAGGCGGGUUGCUGGGCUGACACUGACGCU